rnacentral:rRNA from 1 species
UCGGGAAUUUUGGGCAAUGGGCGAAAGCCUGACCCAGCAACGCCGCGUGAGGGAUGAAGUAUUUCGGUAUGUAAACCUCGAAAGAAUGGGAAGAAUAAAUGACGGUACCAUUUAUAAGCUCCGGCUAACUACGUGCCAGCAGCCGCGGUAAUACGUAGGGAGCAAGCGUUGUUCGGAUUUACUGGGCGUAAAGGGCGCGUAGGCGGCGCGGUAAGUCACUUGUGAAAUCUCUGAGCUUAACUCAGAACGGCCAAGUGAUACUGCUGUGCUAGAGUGCGGAAGAGGCAACCGGAAUUCUUGGUGUAGCGGUGAAAUGCGUAGAUAUCAAGAGGAACACCUGAGGCGAAGGCGGGUUGCCGGGCCGACACUGACGCUGAUGCGCGAAAGCCAGGGGAGCAAACG